CCCCACACACUGGUACUGAGACACGGACCAGACUCCUACGGGAGGCAGCAGUGAGGAAUAUUGGUCAAUGGCCGGAAGGCUGAACCAGCCAUCCCGCGUGCAGGAGGACGGCCCUAUGGGUUGUAAACUGCUUUUCUACUCCAAGAAACCUGUUUACGUGUAGACAGUUGCCGGUAGAGUAGGAAUAAGCAUCGGCUAACUCCGUGCCAGCAGCCGCGGUAAUACGGAGGAUGCAAGCGUUAUCCGGAUUCAUUGGGUUUAAAGGGUGCGCAGGUGGGCUUUUAAGUCAGUGGUGAAAUGCUGCCGCUUAACGGUAGAAUUGCCAUUGAUACUGAGAGUCUUGAGUAUGGUUGAGGUAGGUGGAAUGUGUUGUGUAGCGGUGAAAUGCAUAGAUAUGACACAGAACGCCGAUUGCGAAGGCAGCUUACUAAGCCAUUACUGACGCUGAGGCACGAAAGCGUGGGGAGCGAACAGGAUUAGAUACCCUGGUAGUCCACGCUGUAAACGAUGUUCACUCGCUGUUUGCGAUACACAGCAAGCGGCUGAGCGAAAGCAUUAA
rnacentral:rRNA from 1 species